UGAGGAUUUUAUAGGAACAAGAGCUCUGUAAAACAGAAGUCCAAAAAAGACUGCCUCUGCAAAGUGAUACCUCCCUCUGUUGUCUACUUUUGGGUUGAAAGUCUCAAUCACUUGGUCAGGUGUCACCCAAGCUUUAUCUUCCAUCACAGAAGCUACAAAUGAAGCAGCAUCUGUCACAAGGACUGCCUGUCUGCAGAGGACAUCAGUGUUAACUGCACGCUUCACAGUUGCUCCAACACCAUCCACUGCACCUUUGCUGUGGCUUGUGGCAAAGAAGUGCCACAAGUACUCUUAAAGUUGGAAACAGCUCCUUGAAUGUAGCUGACAUGAAACACCAGAUGAACUUGUUCUUAAACUGAGAAGCAGCUCCAUCACUAAAUAUGUGAAUCUCUUUCAUUGCACGAUGUUUCAUUUUAAUGUCCUCCACAAUCUUUGAGGGGAAGGUUGGAACAGACCUCUUGUUGUGUUCCAGGCUGUCACUCACUAUGGCAUAUGACUCAGGAUCUCCAUCGUUCUGCAAAAUGCUUACUGUUAACAGAGUCUUUGAGCCCUCUUUUGAAAGCAUGAAAUAUGGUUGACUGAAAAUGUAACUUUACUAUCUGUGCAAACCUCAUAUGUGGUGAAUAAACAAAGCAAUAUCCUUAAAAUUUCCAUCACAGCACAUCAAUACAAUAAAAUACAGACCUUAAAGGACAACUUUAAAAGGGUUUUGUUAUUUGGUAAAAACUUUAUUUUUUCUUUAUUUCAUCUGCGUUUUACUACAUUAUUACUUGAUGCAAUCUGCGUAAAAAUAGCUCAGUGGAGCAAAGCUUGGUUUUGCCCGCCAGGUGGGCGUUCCUAUGAGAGUGUGCAGUCACGUGAAUACUAUCAAUACUGCUGUCUUUAUACAUUAUGCAGAAAGUCAAUGUGCAAUAUGAUCAUCUAGUCACUUUGUUUAUCAGGACUUUAAGACUAAAUGUGGCAUGUCAAUGUACAAGACUAUAUCUGGUCACUAAUCACUACUGCCACUUAUUACAUUUCAGUUUGUACUUUCUGUUUCAUAUCAAUGUAGAGGUCACUAUGUGCAGUAGUCAAUGCUCACUCUACUCUGAUUGCUCAGUGUGCAAGAAUAUGACUCAGUCACGUGUUGUAUAUACUUUUAUAAUUGUACUUUACAGUCUAUAGUAUUAAUUAUUGUUUGCGGUUAUAUGUUUGUUUUCUAACACCAGUCAGGAGCAGUGCUCAUAAUUUCAUUGCAGAAAAAUACAAUGACAAUAAAGGUUUUCAACUCAAUAGCUUUAUUGAGAAAUUUAAAACAGAAAGCCUAAUUUGCCUAAUGCAAAUACAAUCAGCAGACAAUAAAUGUUGUUGAUAAAACAUAAAAAGGAAAGAUGAUGUAUCAAUUAAAAUGUAGCAUUUAAUCCAUAAUUACUCCUAUCAAAAGUGAUCAAUAAUUACUGAAAGUAAAAGUGAAACUAAUGAGAUGGAUCUCUCUCUCGAGUAUCGUUAAGGUUUUAACGGUAUUACUAUUCUUACGAUACUGCACAUCGGUCCAGUUCUUUAACAGGACACUUUUUUGCUGUUGUUCGUUUUCAAAAAAAAAAAAAAAAAAAAUUGCUUUAAAUUCUGAAAUAUAAA